AGUGAGCGAAUCCCAAAAAGUGCGUCGUAGUCCGGAUUGGAGUCUGCAACUCGACUCCAUGAAGUCGGAAUCGCUAGUAAUCGUGGAUCAGAAUGCCACGGUGAAUACGUUCCCGGGCCUUGUACACACCGCCCGUCACACCAUGGGAGUGGGCUGCAAAAGAAGUAGGUAGUUUAACCUUCGGGGGGACGCUUACCACUUUGUGGUUCAUGACUGGGGUGAAGUCGUAACAAGGUAGCGCUAGGGGAACCUGGCGCUGGAUCACCUCCUUAAACGAUGAU
rnacentral:rRNA from 1 species